rnacentral:tRNA from 1 species
CUGCUUACCCCGCGUCCUUGCGCGGCUCGGCUCGUUCUUCGAGCCCUGCUUCCCCCUUCCCCCUCUCCCCGUUUACCGUCCAAAACAGGCCGUAUGGAGUAUAGCCAAGUGGUAAGGCAUCGGUUUUUGGUACCGGCAUGCAAAGGUUCGAAUCCUUUUACUCCAGAUUAUGAACACCCGAUCGGAUCUGUCAAAAACGAGCUGACGACUACAGGGGAAGCGGCUGACUGCAGUCCCUGAGCCCAGC